rnacentral:rRNA from 1 species
UACGUAGGGGGCAAGCGUUGUCCGGAUUUAUUGGGCGUAAAGAGCGUGUAGGCGGCUUUGCAAGUCCGUUGUGAAAACUCGAGGCUCAACCUCGAGACGCCGGUGGAAACUGCAAAGCUAGAGUCCGGAAGAGGAGAGUGGAAUUCCUGGUGUAGCGGUGAAAUGCGUAGAUAUCAGGAGGAACACCGGCGGUGUAGACGGCUCUCUGGACCGUAACUGACGCUGAGAUACGAAAGCGUGGGUAGCAAACAGG